CAGCAGCCGCGGUAAUUCCAGCUCCAAUAGCGUAUAUUUAAGUUGUUGCAGUUAAAAAGCUCGUAGUUGGACCUUGGGUUGGGUCGAUCGGUCCGCCUAUGGUGUGCACCGGUUGGCUCGUCCCUUCUGCCGGCGAUGCGCUCCUGGCCUUAAUUGGCCGGGUCGUGCCUCCGGCGCUGUUACUUUGAAGAAAUUAGAGU
rnacentral:ncRNA from 1 species